UACGUAGGGACCAAGCGUUGUCCGGAUUUAUUGGGCGUAAAGAGCUCGUAGGUGGCUUAGUAAGUCGGGUGUGAAACCUCCAGGCUCAACCUGGAGACGCCACCCGAUACUGCUAUAGCUUGAGUUCGGUAGGGGAGCGUGGAAUUCCUGGUGUAGCGGUGAAAUGCGCAGAUAUCAGGAGGAACACCAGCGGCGAAGGCGGCGCUCUGGGCCGGUACUGACACUGAGGAGCGAAAGCGUGGGGAGCGAACAGG
rnacentral:rRNA from 1 species